UGGGGAAUUUUGGACAAUGGGCGCAAGCCUGAUCCAGCCAUGCCGCGUGCGGGAAGAAGGCCUUCGGGUUGUAAACCGCUUUUGUCAGGGAAGAAAUCUUCUGAGUUAAUACCUCGGGAGGAUGACGGUACCUGAAGAAUAAGCACCGGCUAACUACGUGCCAGCAGCCGCGGUAAUACGUAGGGUGCAAGCGUUAAUCGGAAUUACUGGGCGUAAAGCGUGCGCAGGCGGUUUUGUAAGACAGAGGUGAAAUCCCCGGGCUCAACCUGGGAACUGCCUUUGUGACUGCAAGGCUUGAGUGCGGCAGAGGGGGAUGGAAUUCCGCGUGUAGCAGUGAAAUGCGUAGAUAUGCGGAGGAACACCGAUGGCGAAGGCAAUCCCCUGGGCCUGCACUGAGGCU
rnacentral:rRNA from 1 species